UUCCAACGGUAACUCUCUCUACUUCCUCUCAUUUCUCCCCUUCUCUUUCGCUCUCUGUGAGUUGCCGAUCCACGCCAUCGUCUUCUCCUAGCCCUAACGGCGCCGGAAUCAAGAGCGGCAGACCCCUCGGAAACCCAAUUCGUCUUCCAAAGUCCUUUUGUUCCACCGUCACCGUCAGAUCCCGACUCCAUGGUUCUUGAUUCCAAACCCUCGCCCCUCUCCCUUCUUCCAACGGUAACUCUCUCUACUUCCUCUCCCCUUCUCUUUCGCUCUCUGUGAGUUGCCCAUCUUGCCGAUCCACGCCAUCGUCUUCUCCUAGCCCUAACGGCGCCGGAAUCAAGAGCGGCAGACCCUCGGAAACCCAAUUCGUCUUCCAAAGUCCUUUUGUUCCACCGUCACCGUCAGAUCCCGACUCCAUGGUUCUUGAUUCCAAACCCUCGCCGGCUAAGUUGAAGAGCCCGCUUCCACCUAGGUCUCCCUCUUCUAACCCACUUAAGCGGAAGGUAUGAAGACCGUUCCUGAGAAUUCCAUCUUUGGAUUGUCUUAUUCGGGUGGUAGUGCGCUUGCUGCCGCCAUCCAAGGACGGAGAUGAAGGGGAUAAUAUAAUACAGAAGGUUAUGUGUCGAUGAAGUUAGCGGACAGUGGGCAGAUGCAGAUGAAUUCUUUAAUGAGGAACAGGCUAUGUGAAAGAGACCAGGCUAUUCGCAAACUGGAAAGGGAAAUAGAAGAUAAAGAUAGGGAAUUGCAAUCAAUUAAAUUAGACAACGACGCAGCUUGGGCCAAGGAUGAUCUUCUGCGGGAACAAGAUAAGGAAAUAGCAACUUAAAGGAACAAGGAUAAUUAAUCAAUGAAAAAGAAAUGAAGAGGUUUAUCCAUGCAAGCUUCAAACCAAA